UUNUUUGAUAGUCCCUUACUACUUGGAUACCGUAGUAAUUCUAGAGCUAAUACAUGCGUCAAGAUCCGACUUCGGGAGGAUCGUAUUUAUUANGNUACNAAAACCAACCCUCUCUCGGGGAGGGUCUCUGGGGGGAGUCAUGAUAAGCAUGNGGAUCGC
rnacentral:rRNA from 1 species